rnacentral:rRNA from 1 species
UGGACUGAGACACGGCCCAGACUCCUACGGGAGGCAGCAGUGGGGAAUUUUGGACAAUGGGCGCAAGCCUGAUCCAGCAAUGCCGCGUGAGUGAAGAAGGCCUUCGGGUUGUAAAGCUCUUUUGUCAGGGAAGAAACGGGCCGGGCUAAUACCUUGGUUUAAUGACGGUACCUGAAGAAUAAGCACCGGCUAACUACGUGCCAGCAGCCGCGGUAAUACGUAGGGUGCAAGCGUUAAUCGGAAUUACUGGGCGUAAAGCGUGCGCAGGCGGUUGUGCAAGACCGAUGUGAAAUCCCCGGGCUUAACCUGGGAAUGGCAUUGGUGACUGUACGGCUAGAGUGUGUCAGAGGGGGGUAGAAUUCCACGUGUAGCAGUGAAAUGCGUAGAGAUGUGGAGGAAUACCGAUGGCGAAGGCAGCCCCCUGGGAUAACACUGACGCUCAUGCACGAAAGCGUGGGGAGCAAACAGGAUUAGAUACCCUGGUAGUCCACGCCCUAAACGAUGUCUACUAGUUGUCGGGUCUUCAUUGACUUGGUAACGCAGCUAACGCGUGAAGUAGACCGCCUGGGGAGUACGGUCGCAAGAUUAAAACUCAAAGGA